rfam:Campylobacter fetus subsp. fetus strain RC20 genome assembly, contig: ERS672216SCcontig000005
GUAGAUUUUUGGUGCGAUGUGGCUUUGUUUGAGCUUUAUAAAAGUUAGAAGUUGCAACCUAAAGAGAGUCUCUAUCUGCAAGAUUGGCUUUUAAUUAGGGCCGAUUCUUUUUGCACAUCGGUCAUUCGGGU